rnacentral:rRNA from 1 species
GCAUGUCUAAGUAUAAACUCGUUUGUACUGUGUGAAACUGCGAAUGGCUCAUUAAAUCAGUUAUAGUUUAUUUGAUAUAACCUUACUACUUGGAUAUCCGUGGUAAUUCUAGAGCUAAUACAUGCAAUUAAAAUCCUGACUUCUGGAAGGGAUGUAUUUAUUAGAUAAAAAACCAACCCGGCAACGGUUCUUUGGUGAUUCAUAGUAACUUUUCGAAUCGCAUGACUUUACGUCGGCGAUGGUUCAUUCAAAUUUCUGCCCUAUCAAGUUUCGAUGGUAGGAUAGAGGCCUACCAUGCUUUUUACGGGUAACGGCGAAUUAGGGUUCGAUUCCGGAGAGGGAGCCUGAGAAACGGCUACCACAUCUAAGGAAGGCAGCAGGCGCGCAAAUUACCCAAUCCUGAUUCAGGGAGGUAGUGACAAUAAAUAACAAUCCAGGGCUUUUGUCUUGGAAUUGGAAUGAGAACAAUUUAAAUCUCUUAACGAGGAACAAUUGGAGGGCAAGUCUGGUGCCAGCAGCCGCGGUAAUUCCAGCUCCAAUAGCGUAUAUUAAAGUUGUUGCAGUUAAAUAGCUCGUAGUUGAAUCUUGGGCCUGGUUUGGCGGUCGCGCUUUAGGGCGUGUACUGUCGGCCGGGUCUUUUACUUGCGGGGAACGUGCGUGCCUCUCGGGGUGUGUACGGGAACCGUGGCUAUUACUUUGAAAAAAUUAGAGUGUUUAAAGCAGGCGUAAGCUUGUAUACAUUAGCAUGGAAUAAUAGAAUAGGACUUUGGUUUUAUUUUGUUGGUUUCUAGGGCCGAAGUAAUGAUUAAUAGGGAUAGUUGGGGGCAUUAGUAUUUAAUAGUCAGAGGUGAAAUUCUUGGAUUUAUGAAAGACUAACUUCUGCGAAAGCAUUUGCCAAGGAUGUUUUCAUUAAUCAAGAACGAAAGUCAGGGGAUCGAAGAUGAUCAGAUACCGUCGUAGUCCUGACCGUAAACUAUGCCGACUAGGGAUCGGGCGUUGUAUUUCAUGACACGCUCGGCACCUUAUGAGAAAUCAAAGUCUUGG